rnacentral:rRNA from 1 species
GAUGAACGCUGGCGGCGUGCCUAAUACAUGCAAGUCGAGCGAACAGACGAGGAGCUUGCUCCUCUGACGUUAGCGGCGGACGGGUGAGUAACACGUGGAUAACCUACCUAUAAGACUGGGAUAACUUCGGGAAACCGGAGCUAAUACCGGAUAAUAUAUUGAACCGCAUGGUUCAAUAGUGAAAGACGGUUUUGCUAUCACUUAUAGAUGGAUCCGCGCCGCAUUAGCUAGUUGGUAAGGUAACGGCUUACCAAGGCAACGAUGCGUAGCCGACCUGAGAGGGUGAUCGGCCACACUGGAACUGAGACACGGUCCAGACUCCUACGGGAGGCAGCAGUAGGGAAUCUUCCGCAAUGGGCGAAAGCUUGACGGAGCAACGCCGCGUGAGUGAUGAAGGUCUUCGGAUCGUAAAACUCUGUUAUUAGGGAAGAACAAAUGCGUAAGUAACUAUGCACGUCUUGACGGUACCUAAUCAGAAAGCCACGGCUAACUACGUG